rnacentral:lncRNA from 1 species
UCGUAAAUAAGUGAACAGUUUUUGCCAGCUUCGUCAAGGUUGCCUGGCAACUUGUUCGUUCUCGGCGUUCCUGUAAAAUUUAAAACACAAUCUUGAUUUUGAUGGCUGUUUGUUGUUGGGCUGUUGCCAAGAUAUAAACCGUAUGGUUGCACGUGUGGGAUUUGAUGUGCUAUUAGAUCAAGAUAGCUCGGUGUCGAAUUGUGGUUGUGAUAAAAGGGUUCACGUCGUUGUGGGGUAAAGUCAAUUUGCUGUCUGAAGAUGAAGCCCGCUAAUGCAGACGCUGCUGAGGCUGCCAAAGAUACAAGUAUCAUUGAAAUAUUGGCUGAUGAUAGAGAUGACGAUAGGGUGAAGACAUUUAUUUUGCAUGGUGAAGACCACACCCUUGGGAACUCAUUACGAUGGGUGCUACUGAAGGACAAGGAUGUUCAGUUCUGUGGAUACACAAUACCUCACCCAUCACAGCGUGAAGUGCAUCUGAGAAUCCAAACGUACAAGAAACCAGCAGUUGAUGUAUUACGUGAAGCAUUGGUUCGUCUCAGCGAACUUACCCAGAUGAUAGCUGACAAGGUCAAGGACAAAGCAGAAGCAUUCAAGACAAGCACCGAAGAGGCUUCUCCCAUGCAGUCAUGAAGAACUUCAUCCUUUUCCUAGUGUUUGCUGCUCACUGUGACCAUUUUGUGUACAAUAAACAACUUUGUCAAUGUUC